rnacentral:tRNA from 2 species
GCAGUCGUGGCCCAGUGGUUAAGGCGAUGGAUUAGAAAUCCAUUGGGGUCGUGCCUCACAUGUUCGAAUCCUGUCGACUGCG